rnacentral:lncRNA from 1 species
AAGAAAAUGAAUGCAUUGGUAUCCCUGCUGUCAUGGUUGAUUUUCUCUGCCAACUUGACUGGGUCGUGGGGUGCCCAGACAUUUGGGUGCCCAGAUAUUUGGUCAAGUGUUAUUCUGGAUAUGUCUGUGAGGUCGUUUCUGGGUGAGACUAACACUUGAAUCAGUAGAUUGAGUGAAGCAGAUGCCCUCCCUAAUGUGGAUGGGCCUCAUCCAAUCAACUGGAACAGAACACAAAGGGAGUAAGGGAGAAUUCACUCUCUCUGCUUGACUGCUUUCCAGCUGGGACAUCGGUCUUCCUCUACCUUUGGACUCAAAUGGAAACAUCGGCUUUUCCUGGGUCUUGAGUUUAUUGGCCUUUGGGCAUAAAUAUACCAGCAGCUCUGCUGACUCCCAGGCCUUCGGACUCAAACUGGAAAUACACCAUUGCUCUCCUGAUCUCCAGCCUGUUGAUGCAGAAAUUGGGACUUAUCAGCUUCGUGAGUGACAGUGCCUGGCUCUGAGGAACACAGUGACUAUUAGUGCAGUCUGAUGUUGCUGCAUGUGUGCCGACAUUACCAGUUUUACCCACCACGGCUUUACACCAACGUCAACACAGUGGAAAAGAUGGUGUCAGAAGUGGGAUCUGAAGAAGAGCUUCUAAUGACCCCCAGGAGCACUGAGUGAACAUGCAAGGUAACUGCAGGACCCACUUGUAUCCACUAAUCUCUCGGAGCGGCUGGAGAUAGUGGGAAAAGAGAUCAACCAAUCCAGAAGAACCAUUCUCAGGUGGAUCCAAGUAGUGCAAAAGAUACUGAUCUUAAAAGAACUCCUCAAAAAACUAUCUGCAUACAAAUCUAUGGCUCUCCAAAUUUUUCCUCGGAAACCCUAAGACUCUGCCUAUAGGGAAGGACACAGUAUAGUCACCUUAGAAGAUAUUUCUCAUGAUCAAAUUUAUAAAAGUGCAAAUAACAAAAGAAAAUGAGGAUGAAGAAAGUAGAAAUAACAAUGCUGUAUGGAAAAUGGCUAAACUUGAAAUAAAGUCAUGUUUACCAGGAAUACCCAGAAUUCAUCUGAGUUGAAGCCACUGCCAUCAUCCUUCUUCUCUGAUCCAAGGGUAAUGAAGAAGGAAGAGUUAUUAUUGCAAAGAAGAUAAACAAACAACACUGGAAAAAACCUUUCUUCAGGGGAAGAACUUCUGAACUGAUUUGUUGUUUGUGCACUUGUUUGUUUCACACAACAUCGCAUGAAUAAAAUUAGCAGUGGAAAAGCAGCUUGUAAUAUGUCCUGAUGUUACAAGGGUCAUGCCAGGGUUCCCA